UUAGGUGUGGAUCUAGGCUAAGGAAACUGAAUGCUGAGAUUUAUGGCAAUUUUGGGACUACUACAACUGACUAUGGAAAUGCUGUUAGACAAAAAGCAAAUUUGAGCAAUUUUCUCAUUUGAGUUCAAAAUAUGUCAUAAAACAGUGGAGACAACUCGGAACAUCAGUAAAGCAUUUGGCCCAGGAACUGUUACUGAACAUACAAUGUAGUGGCGGUUCAAGAAGUUUUGCAAAGGAGAUGAGAGCCUUGAAGAUGAGGAGCAUAGUGGCUGGCCAUCGAAGUUGACAACAACCAAUUGAGAGAAUCUUUGAAGCUGAUCCUCUUACAACUACACAAGAAGUUGCCUUAAAACUCAACACCAACCAUUCUAUGGUCAUUUGUAAUUUGAAGCAAAUUGGAAAGGUGAAAAAGCUUGAUAAGCGGGUGUCUCAUGAGCUGAGCAGAAAUUUAAAAAAAUCAUCAUUUUGAAGUGUCAUCUCUCAUUCUGUGCAGUGACAAUGAACCAUGUAUCAAUCGAAUUAUGAUGUACAACAAAAAGUGGAUUUUAUACAAUAACCAGUGAUGACCAGCUGAGUGGUUAGACCAAGAAGAAGCUCCAAAGCCCUUCCCAAAGCCAAACCUGCACGAGAAAAAGGUCAUGGUCACUGUUUGGUAGUCUGCUGCCAGUCUAAUCCGCUACAGCUUUCUGAAUUCUGGCAAAAGCAUUACAACUGAGAAGUAUGCUCAGCAAAUCAAUGAGAUGCACCAAAACCCACAAUGCCUGCAGUUGCCAUUUGCCAACAGAAAGGGCCCAAUUCUUCUCCACAACACCACCUGACUGCACGUUGCACAACCAAUGCUUCAACAGUUUAAUGAAUUGGGCUACGAAGUUUUGCCUCAUCUGUCAUACUCACCUGACCUCUCGCCAACCGACUACCACUUCUUCAAGCACCUCGACAACUUUUUGCAGCGAAAAUGCUUCCACAACCAGCAGGAAGCAGAAAAUGCUUCCCAAGGGUUCGCUGAAUCCCAAAGCAUGGAUUUUUACCCUACAGGAAUAAACAAACUUAUUUCUCAUUGGAAAAAACGUGUUCAUUGUAAUGAUUCCUGUUUUGGUUAAUAAAGGUGUGUUUGAACCUA